AUUGAACGCUGGCGGCGUGCUUAACACAUGCAAGUCGAUCGGUAACAGGUGUAGCAAUACAUGCUGACGAGAGGCGGACGGGUGAGUAAUGCUUGGGAAUCUGCCUAUUAGUGGGGGACAACCCGGGGAAACUCGGGCUAAUACCGCAUACGCUCUACGGAGGAAAGCCGGGGACCGCAAGGCCUGGCGCUAAUAGAUGAGCCCAAGUCGGAUUAGCUAGUUGGUAGGGAACGGCCUACCAAGGCGACAAUCCGUAGCUGGUCUGAGAGGACGACCAGCCACACCGGAACUGAGACACGGUCCGGACUCCUACGGGAGGCAGCAGUGGGGAAUAUUGGACAAUGGGGCAACCCUGAUCCAGCGACGCCGCGUGGUGAAGAAGGCCUGCGGGUUGUAAAGCCCUUUCGGUGGGGAAGAAAAGUCUCGACCUAAUACGUCGGGACCUUGACGUAACCCACUAAAGAA
rnacentral:rRNA from 1 species